rnacentral:rRNA from 1 species
AGCGAACGCUGGCGGCAGGCUUAACACAUGCAAGUCGAACGGUCCUUCGGGAUAGUGGCGGACGGGUGAGUAACACGUGGGAACGUACCCUUAGGUUCGGAACAACACAGGGAAACUUGUGCUAAUACCGGAUGAGCCCUUCGGGGGAAAGAUUUAUCGCCUUUGGAGCGGCCCGCGUCUGAUUAGCUUGUUGGUGAGGUAAUGGCUCACCAAGGCUACGAUCAGUAGCUGGUCUGAGAGGAUGGCCAGCCACACUGGGACUGAGACACGGCCCAGACUCCUACGGGAGGCAGCAGUGGGGAAUCUUGCGCAAUGGGCGAAAGCCUGACGCAGCCAUGCCGCGUGGAUGAUGAAGGUCUUAGGAUUGUAAAAUCCUUUCACCGGGGACGAUAAUGACGGUACCCGGAGAAGAAGCCCCGGCUAACUUCGUGCCAGCAGCCGCGGUAACAC